UGACAUGUAUAGAGCAAUUGAUAACUGC
rnacentral:sRNA from 1 species